ACUUUGAUUAUGGCUCGGGACGAACGCUGGCGGCGCGCCUAACACAUGCAAGUCGAGCGGGAAGCUUUUUAAGGAUUCUUCGGAUGAAUUAAAAAGUGGAGAGCGGCGGACGGGUGAGUAACGCGUGAGAAACCUGCCCUAUACAGGGGGGAUAGCCAUUGGAAACGAUGAUUAAUACCCCAUAUGACCACAGUAUCGCAUGAUACAGCGGUGAAAACUCCGGUGGUAUAGGAUGGUCUCGCGUCUGAUUAGCUAGCUGGUGGGGUAACGGCCUACCAAGGCGACGAUCAGUAGCCGGCCUGAGAGGGUGACCGGCCACACUGGAACUGAGACACGGUCCAGACUCCUACGGGAGGCAGCAGUGGGGAAUAUUGCACAAUGGGCGAAAGCCUGAUGCAGCGACGCCGCGUGAACGAUGAAGGCUUUCGAGUCGUAAAGUUCUGUUCUUGGGGAAGAUAACGACGGUACCCAAGGAGAAAGCACCGGCUAAAUACGUGCCAGCAGCCGCGGUA
rnacentral:rRNA from 1 species